UCNCGGGCAACCCGCCGUGCCGCCGCCCACCACGAUGUAGUCGAACUCCCCGUCCCCGCCCUCUCCCCCCUCGAAGCUGCUCGCCUUCUUCAGGACACUAUAAAUUUGCCAGCCAGGAGAGAGUAAAUUGUGCAGGCAUAAAAAGCAUCGACUGUACAAGCUUUCUCCGGCCAGGCACAUGGAUUGUUACCAAACAUGCUGUGGAACAAAACAGUCUCUCCAUCCAUACACUUUAAAAGAGCAACUAUUGCUUUGUGCUGCUGGGGUUUCACUUUGAUCUUUUACAGCCACUUUGUGUGCUAAAUUUGCAACUAAGAUCGAUGAUUUAUGAACAUCAGUAGAUCAUACUACAGUAUUGACUUCUUGAUUAUCGUAGUUGUCGUUUGAGCUAGGCGUGUAAUGUGUUUUGUUUUGUCGCGAUUGUAGUGUAGAGUUUCGCAACAUGAAUUCGCGGUGAAACAUCUUGUUUGCUGCGUGAAGUUUGUGAAACAUUAAUAGCAGGUUUUGUGGUGUAUGGUGAAGUUGUUAUUUACUCUGUGUGUAUCCAUUGCCAA